GUGUGGGUUGUGGGUGUGUGCGAUGCAAGGCAGGAGCAGGAGAAGGAGAAGGAAAACCCUUCUUCUCCAAUUGAUCCAAAAUUUGAAGAAAUUAAGUCAGAUUGUGGAUGAAUUUCGAAUGCAUGUGACUGGAUUUUCAGUCAUCUAAGAGUUCUCAAUGUAAGGUAAGUUAAAUUAUGUGUUUUAAUGCUAGUGGAUGAAAUGGGUUUUAAUCAAUCCCUAAAAUUGAAUGAAUCGAAGUUAUAUAUGCAUUAGAAUCAUCAUAUUGGAGAUGAUUUAUGCUUGAAUUUGGUUAUAUUGAAGGAUUGAGGUGAAACCCACUUGUUCUAGUAGUAUGUUGAUGAAUGAUGAUCUUGCAAUUGUGUAAUUUUGUUGAAUGAAAGCAUAAACACUAAUGUAUUGAUAGCCAAUCAUGUUAUAGGAUGAAUGAAUCAUGUGAAAUUAGUUGAAUGAUUGAGUUUUGUGGUUUACUAAUGGGUCAUGCAUAGAACUCAUGUACAUGAUGCUUAAAAUGUUAUACGCCCACCAUGUGUUUGAUAAAAUGCCUCAAUGAUAAAACAUGUAGUUUUGAAUGGAUUGAGAAGUGUGGUGAUGCAUAAGGACAAUAUAAUAUUGAUGUAUUGUGAAAAAAGGUAUGAAAUAUGAAUGAUGCGUGAAUGUAAAUUGUUAUGUAAAUAAAUGGCGUAAUCUAAAAUGGGAAUGGAUUAUAUAUAGGAUUGAAGUUAGAAGGUACAAAUUUGUAUGCAAGAACUUGUGGGUAAUGAACUAGCUAAUUUAUGUGUCAUGUACGGUAGUAAUGAAGUAUGAUGAUACAUAUCUUAUAUAUGCGCUAAUAAACUAACGAAAGUCAAACAUUUCAUGAUUUGAAAGCCGAAUGAAUGAAUGAAUGAAUGUAAGCUUACCGUGUUAUGAAUGUGACGACAUGUACGGAUAGUCAUGUCAACAUGGACACAAGCAUGAAAGCGCCACAGGUCGAAGGUAAACACGGAAGCUAUGCGUGAACUCGGAUGCACGAGAGGUUAUGUUGAAAUGCGUUAUUGAGGAUGAUAUCAAAUAAGUAGUAUUAAGUAAGUGGUUUCCGAAUCACUUCUUAGAUUAUUUAAGAAAAGUUAUGUGCUAGUCACUUAAGCAUGAUAAUUAAAGCCUAUUAGGAUUUGGUUAUUUAGAAGUGAAGGUUUUCGCUAUGUAGACCAAUGGGUCAAAAUAAGAAUUUAUUUCAUUACGGAAUGGUUGCAUAAGUAUAGACGACGGUAUUAUAAUUCGGGUAACGGGUAGAAUUUCUCAUAAGUGCGCUAACCGAGAGACGGGGACAUGGGUUAAUGGGAAAAGGACUUGGUUUAAGACAUGGCCAAUGGGAACAAUUUCGUGUAAGGAAAUUGUGCUAAUAAAGUUCAAUUACGUAAAAUUUAUUGAAAUGAAUAAGUUUAACGUAUACCGGGAAUCGGGUUCAUAAACUCAUUGUACGGAACUCUGGAAAAUGUAAAAGUGUUAUAGUUAUAACGUUCAUGUGAGUUUUGGGUAUAAACAUAUGAGUUGUUUGAUAAAAAACAUGAACGGGUCGAAUAAUUCCUAAAUGAAUAUUAAGCCGAAAGCAUAUAAGUUAAGAACUUCCUUAGUUCAGAUGUUAGAUUUUGAGUCCAUAUGAUAGAGGACCAAAUUACGAUCAUGUGGGAAGAAAUGGAUCGUAAAAUGGACAAGAAAUGAGAAAGUUAGGACCAAAAUUGUAAAAAUUCAUUAAGCUGAAAGUUGCAGGUCUGAACCAGGCGCAAGGUUGCGCCCCCCUGACACAAGGUUACGCCCCUUACUGAUGUCUUCUGUAUUGCGCUAGAACUGGCACAAGGUUGCGCCAUAUUGGUUUCUUUUUGCGCCAAUCGCUGGUUCUUUCAUAUUCUUCGCAUUCUUCAACUCCAAACUUGUGUGAAGGCUAUCUAACUACGUUAUAUGCAUUAUAUAACUAUAUGUAAGUAUAUAAGCAUGUACGUAUAGACGUGUUUAUGUUUGCAUGUAUGUUUUCGGGUGUAUGUAAAUAGAUGUAUGAGUAUACAUAUAUGAAAGUAUGUACGUAUGUAUCAAAUGGGAUUUUAAUGUACACAAAGGAAUAAAGCUUGUAUGUAUGUAAGUAUGUAUGUAAGCAUGUAUGUACAUAUGUGUGUAAGUAUGUAUGUAUGUAUGCAUGUAUGUAUGUAGGUAUGAAUGUGUAUGAACAUACAUGUGUAGGUACUUAUCCAUGAAGUAGGAUUUGUUGUGCAUGAAAGAAAGGAUUUUGUAUAUAUGCUUAUAUAUAUGGCUCUAACAUGUUUGAAUAGUCAUGUUACUAAGGGUGUGCCUUGAGAAUGGAACAGGAAUGCAGAUACGUAAGUAUUGGGCUUACAAAGAUUGGAUGCUCGGUGUAAAGAAUGAACUCAAAAGAAUAUUAUAUCGGAAUUGUAUAAAAUGAUAGAUUUCUAAGUGGUUAUGUAUAUUUUUAUGUCUUUAUACUAAUGUAUAUGAUGUCACCAAUUAUUAACGAGUUGGUUGACCACAGGUUAGUCGGAUAUUCAUGACGGACCAGUGAUCGAGGGUCGAGUUAAGAUCAAGGAUUGUACGGGGAUGUGAUCACAUGUUGAAACCAUUUGUAAUAUAAUUUUCUUGAUUAGGUAUGAAUAAUGUAGAAGAUUUAAAUCAAGUCGAUUUGAAUGGCUUAUUAAUAAGUUGUAUGAUUGUCAAGAAAAGAAAUUUUAUGACUCAUAUUUCC
rnacentral:lncRNA from 1 species